UACCUACGGGGGGCAGCAGUAGGGAAUAUUGCUCAAUGGGGGAAACCCUGAAGCAGCAACGCCGCGUGGAGGAUGAAGGUUUUCGGAUUGUAAACUCCUUUUGUUAGAGAAGAUAAUGACGGUAUCUAACGAAUAAGCACCGGCUAACUCCGUGCCAGCAGCCGCGGUAAUACGGAGGGUGCAAGCGUUACUCGGAAUCACUGGGCGUAAAGAGCGCGUAGACGGCAGCGCAAGUCUGAAGUGAAAUCCCAUGGCUUAACCAUGGAACUGCUUUGGAAACUGUGCAGCUGGAGUGCAGGAGAGGU
rnacentral:rRNA from 1 species